UACGUAGGGACCGAGCGUUGUCCGGAAUCAUUGGGCGUAAAGAGCGUGUAGGCGGCCACUUAAGUCCUGCGUGAAAUCUUGCGGCUCAACCGCAAGCGGUCGUGGGAAACUGGGUGGCUAGAGUGCGGGAGAGGAGAGUGGAAUUCCUGGUGUAGCGGUGGAAUGCGCAGAUAUCAGGAAGAACACCCGUGGCUAAGGCGGCUCUCUAGUACGUGACUGACGCUGAGACGCGAAAGCGUGGGGAGCGAACAGG
rnacentral:rRNA from 1 species